CUGACCUCAAAUCAGGUAGGACUACCCGCUGAACUUAAGCAUAUCAAUAAGCGGAGGAAAAGAAACUAACAAGGAUUCCCCCUAGUAACUGCGAGUGAAGCGGGAAAAGCUCAAAUUUAAAAUCUGGCGGUCUUUGGCCGUCCGAGUUKAUCUGGAGAAG
rnacentral:rRNA from 1 species